rnacentral:rRNA from 1 species
AGAUUGAACGCUGGCGGCAGGCCUAACACAUGCAAGUCGAGCGGUAGAGAGGUGCUUGCAUCUCUUGGGAGCGGCGGACGGGUGAGUAAUGCCUAGGAAUCUGCCUAGUGGUGGGGGAUAACGUUCGGAAACGGACGCUAAUACCGCAUACGUCCUACGGGAGAAAGCGGGGGACCUUCGGGCCUCGCGCCAUUAGAUGAGCCUAGGUCGGAUUAGCUAGUUGGUGAGGUAAUGGCUCACCAAGGCGACGAUCCGUAACUGGUCUGAGAGGAUGAUCAGUCACACUGGAACUGACGACACGGUCCAGACUCCGUACGGGAGCCAGCACGGUGGGAACUAGUUGGACAAGUGGGACGAAAGCCUAGACGUCCAGCCAAGUCGCCGCGUUGGUGUAGGAAGGUAACGGUUC